UACGUAGGGGGCAAGCGUUAUCCGGAUUUACUGGGUGUAAAGGGAGCGUAGACGGCUGUGCAAGUCAGAAGUGAAAGCCCGGGGCUCAACCGCGGGACUGCUUUUGAAACUGUGUAGCUAGAGUGCAUGAGAGGUAAGUGGAAUUCCUAGUGUAGCAGUGAAAUGCGUAGAUAUUAGGAGGAACACCGGUGGCGAAGGCGGCUUACUGGACUGUAACUGACGUUGAGGCUCGAAAGCGUGGGGAGCAAACAGG
rnacentral:rRNA from 1 species